CAGUCGCCGCGGUAAUACGAAGGGUGCAAGCGUUACUCGGAAUUACUGGGCGUAAAGCGUGCGUAGGUGGUGGUUUAAGUCCGUUGUGAAAGCCCUGGGCUCAACCUGGGAAUUGCAGUGGAUACUGGGUCACUAGAGUGUGGUAGAGGAUAGUGGAAUUUCCGGUGUAGCAGUGAAAUGCGUAGAGAUCGGAAGGAACAUCUGUGGCGAAGGCGACUAUCUGGGCCAACACUGACACUGAGGCACGAAAGCGUGGGGAGCAAACAGGAUUAGAUACCCCUGUAGUCCCUGUUUCUUAUAC
rnacentral:rRNA from 1 species